rnacentral:rRNA from 1 species
AUGCAAUUGGAAUCUCUUGACCUGUCAAACAAUGAGCUUUCAGGCGAGAUCCCUUCAAGCACGACUGCUCUCACCUCUCUAUGCUAUAUGAACCUGUCAUACAACACUCUGACCGGAAAGAUACCAACUGGAAAUCAAUUCCAUACUUUUGACGCAUCUGACUACAUUGGAAACAUUGGUUUAUGUGGUUACCCCUUGACGAACAACUGUACAGGAAAUAGUUCAAGUGGACCUACGCAUGCAGAUCAUGGAGACGGAUCCGAUGAUAUAUCCUUUUACCUUGGUUUGGCUGUUGGGUAUAUCCUUGGCCUUUGGGUGGUCUUCUGUGUGAUAUUGUUUAAAAAAAGAUGGAGAAGUGCUUAUUUCAUAUUUGUGGAAGGGCUGCAGGAAAAGAUUUAUGUGGCAGUGGUACUGAGAUGGGCUAAUCUGAAGAGGAAAGUAGGUAAAACUUAA